UAGCAGGUGUUCAUGUUGAGUACCGUGUUCUAUCUGCCCAGGGGAAGAAGCUGUUUUUGAGUCUGUUUGUUUCGCUGGUGAUGGAGCUGACCCUUCCUCCAGAGGGCAGCAUGCAGGACAGGUGGUGGACAUCUCUCAUGAUUGCCUCGGCUCUGGAAAUGAACAAGUCGUCCCCAUGGCGACGCCCUCCGGCUGAGCAGGGAUUGGACGAUGGAGUGAUGAUGUCAUAACCAGUAUAACCAGUCAGCGUCCGCUCUGAAGAUGUGCAGCUGUUGUUGUUGUUGUGCAGAAUGAAUAAAACCUUCAGAUUUUCAGUCGA